CGCUGGCGGCGUGCCUAAUACAUGCAAGUCGAACGGUCUUUCUAUGGAAGCUUGCUUCCACUGAGAAGAUAGUGGCGAACGGGUGAGUAACACGUGGGUAACCUGCCCAUAAGAGGGGGAUAACAUCCGGAAACGGUGCUAAUACCGCAUAGUUUUCUUGAUCGCAUGAUUGAGAAAGGAAGACGGCCUUUGUGCUGUCGCUUAUGGAUGGACCCGCGGCGUAUUAGUUAGUUGGUGAGGUAACGGCUCACCAAGACGAUGAUACGUAGCCGACCUGAGAGGGUGAUCGGCCACAUUGGGACUGAGACACGGCCCAAACUCCUACGGGAGGCAGCAGUAGGGAAUCUUCCGCAAUGGACGAAAGUCUGACGGAGCAACGCCGCGUGAGUGAAGAAAAGGUUUUCGGAUCGUAAAACUCUGUUGUCAGAGAAGAACAAGUUGGAGAGUAACUGCUCCAGCCUUGACGGUAUCUGACCAGAAAGCCACGGCUAACUACGUGCCAGCAGCGGC
rnacentral:rRNA from 1 species